rfam:Rhizobium etli CFN 42, complete genome.
UCGAUCGCCAAAUAGGGAUCGACACAAAGUCCAGGAGACGCCGGUCGCUCUUGGCGUCUCCUUGUGUCCAUGUUGCUUGCAAGGAGGAUAUGGCUAUGAGGA